GAAAGUGGAAUUCCUGGUGUAGCGGUGAAAUGCGUAGAUAUCAGGAGGAACACCGGUGGUGUAAACGGCUUUCUGGACCAUAACUGACGCUGAGGCACGAAAGCGUGGGUAGCAAACAGGAUUAGAUACCCUGGUAGUCCACGCCCUAAACGAUGCAUAUUUGGUGUGGGCCAUUCAUUUGGUCUGUGCCGGAGCUAACGCGUUAAAUAUGCCGCCUGGGGAGUACAGUCGCAAGGCUGAAACUCAAAGGAAUUGACGGGGGCCCGCACAAGCGGUGGAGCAUGUGGUUUAAUUCGACGCAACGCGAAGAACCUUACCUGGGCUCGAAAUGCUAUGGACCAGCUGGUGAAAGCCGGCCUUCCCGCAAGGGACCGUAGUAUAGGUGCUGCAUGGCUGUCGUCAGCUCGUGUCGUGAGAUGUUGGGUUAAGUCCCGCAACGAGCGCAACCCUUGUCCUGUGUUGCCAUCAUUCAGUUGGGAACUCGCAGGAGACCGCCAGGGAUAACCUGGAGGAAGGUGGGGAUGACGUCAAGUCCUCAUGGCCUUUAUGUCCAGGGCUACACACGUGCUACAAUGGACGGUACAAAGGGCUGCCAACCCGCAAGGGGGAGCCAAUCCCAAAAAACCGUUCUCAGUUCGGAUUGCAGGCUGCAACUCGCCUGCAUGAAGCUGGAAUCGCUAGUAAUGGCGGAUCAGAACGCCGCCGUGAAUACGUUCCCGGGCCUUGUACACACCGCCCGUCACAUCACGAAAGUGGGUUGUACUAGAAGUCCACGCGCCGACCGCAAGGGGGCAGUGGCCCAAGGUGUGACUCAUGAUUGGGGUGAAGUCGUAACAAGGUAACC
rnacentral:rRNA from 1 species